AAUCUUUGUUUCUUCAGAAUUACAGGUCUCUUUUGACCUUGUUGGUUGUUACAUGAAUUAUCUUGUUUUAUCCUACGAUAGGUAAUACUAGAGCUAGAGGCUUCCAACCCUGGUCUCGUGAUUAGCUUUGUUGAGGAACCUGACUUCACUUGCGGCUCAAAAUCUCAUCAGCUUUGAUACUAUGAAUGUACUUCGAGCGAGUAAGGUUUGUUCAAUUUGAAAAGAAGGAAAAGUUGGGUUUCCCAAGGGAGGUUAGCAAUGUGGCAAGUUAUACAAAGAUGAGUCAUUCUCAAUCAAACAUUGAAGAUUGAGUUGAUAUUCAAAGAUUUUGGGCAGCAACAUCUCCAUGGUGCAUUCCAUUGGAUGAAGGGUCACACAUACCACUUGUAUUUAUUGUUUUUGGAAAGAUGGCGAUUACUUUAUUAGAAGGCAAAAAGAGAACAACGGGGAGAAUCAGCCCGUUGAGAUAGCGGGAAGAUUACUCGCCUAAGAAAAGCGAAUUACAACCUUUUAGGAGAUCAACAUUACACACAUACCACUUGCAUGAUUUUCAAUAGAGGAAAACAGACUGCUGAGCACACUAUUGACAUCCUUCAAAACUAUAUAUAGCGACAUUUAAGCUAGUUAAAAAAAAAAAAAAAAAACAA